AUUGAACGCUGGCGGCAGGCCUAACACAUGCAAGUCGAGCGAAUGAAGGGAGCUUGCUCCUGGAUUCAGCGGCGGACGGGUGAGUAAUGCCUGGGAAUCUGCCCGGUAGUGGGGGAUAACGUCCGGAAACGGGCGCUAAUACCGCAUACGUCCUGAGGGAGAAAGUGGGGGAUCUUCGGACCUCACGCUAUCAGAUGAGCCUAGGUCGGAUUAGCUAGUUGGUGGGGUAAAGGCCUACCAAGGCGACGAUCCGUAACUGGUCUGAGAGGAUGAUCAGUCACACUGGAACUGAGACACGGUCCAGACUCCUACGGGAGGCAGCAGUGGGGAAUAUUGGACAAUGGGCGAAAGCCUGAUCCAGCCAUGCCGCGUGUGUGAAGAAGGUCUUCGGAUUGUAAAGCACUUUAAGUUGGGAGGAAGGGCAGUAAGUUAAUACCUUGCUGUUUUGACGUUACCAACAGAAUAAGCACCGGCUAACUUCGUG
rnacentral:rRNA from 1 species